rnacentral:lncRNA from 1 species
CUAUAGCGGUGAACUGGUGAUACCUACUGAGGUUUAGCAUGGAUUUAACCUAUAGAUCCUUGAUGAAAUAUGCAAAUAAGCACAAUUUCAUGGCUUUUUUGGAGAUGUAAUAUUUGUGAAAAGUUCUUUAUAUGUUACAAUGCAUUAAAACAGGUUUGUCAAGAUCAAAAGGUUGUGCCAUGCAUUCUCAACUCAUGCACUGAUCAUGAAAUGCACAUAAAAGAUGUCUGAAUUAUAUUCCCUUUAAGCAUUCACCAUUGCAAAUUUUAAGGAUGAGACUUUCAUUGUGUCGUAAGGAUGGAUCCCAUGGUUCUCUCCAGGGAAAGAAUGAGCAAGCUAAGCAAAGAGGUCGCAGAUCAUAGCCAGCUGUGGUAAAGUGAUGUUCAGCUGACCAACUGUUAAAGUCAUUAUUUUUGGAUUAUGUGAUUGUCUUCUUUUUUUUAUGACAAAUGAUCAAAAAUUAUUGUUCUUAGAUUACUUGGAGAUUCGCACAUCAGCAUCUGUAAGUUUAGAAGUAGGUUCCAAUCCUUGAACUUGCAACAUAGAUUUCGUGGAGUGGCCCUACUCAUUAAACUGAUAUGGGUGGUUAGCUCAAUACCUUAAAGUUGUAAUAUUCAAAUGGACUCUUAUUCUGCAGAGUAGUGGUAGGCCCAUAAUGUGAGUUUAUACUUCACUUUUAAGCAGUCUGAUGAGUCCAUGAAUUUCACAUACAUAAUCAAGAGGCAUCCUCCAUUUAGCGCAUUUCAGUUUCUGGAAUUUAGAAUCAUGUUCUUUUAUGAAACCUAUUUUUUGUGGCAUAGUAAGCAAUUCCUUAGUAAAUUUCUUAUUCUCCAAUCAUUUGCAGUGUAGUGAUUUUUUAAAUCAUGACUGACCAUGUGAAGUACUCAAUCUGGUAGAAGCUUAUGUUCUGUUCAUUAUAUUGUAUCAUUUAUUUGUUUAUUUUUUUGAUAUCUCACUGAAUGAUUAUGGGCAUCAUUUUGCGUAUUGACCUCAUUCAUCAGUCAGAUGAAUUUGACUCUGCUGUUAAUCAAUGAAAAAUAGGAAGAGACUAUCAUUUAGCUAUUUAGGACAGCCCUUGAGAACAACAUAGUCUGCAAUGCUUACACGCAUAUGAUACGUAAUGUCUGAACGGUCAUGUGUAUGAAAGUAUAAGGACAACAAAUAUGUAAAUGCAGAAAUUUAAAAUCAUAGAAAGUUUUGAAAGCAAAUGAGUUGAGAUAAUCACUAACAGGUGGAAAUUAAAACAAUGAAAAUUACCUAUCAGCAUUAAAAAUGAUACAAGGAGUUACUAGAAAGUUCUGAAUGGUUUGCAAGCAAAUGAGUUGAGAUAUUCACUAAUAGUUGGAAAUUAAACUAAUGAAAACUACUUAUAGGCAUUAAAAGUGAUACAGGGAGUUACUAAGAAGUUCUGAAUGGUUUCAAACUAAUGAAUAAGCCAUGUACCCAUAUCUCAAUUCAAGUUUGGAAACUAGAAGAAAUUCAUAUUUCACCAAAAAGUUGUGGAAGGUUCUUUCUACGCUCAAGGAUUGUAAAAGCUUCUGACCAAACAAGUGGAAAUGUCUGAUACUAGUGAUAGUUUGGAACUCCAGAAGUACUCUAGGGUUUACAUAUAGAGAAAAGGGAUUGCACUGCAAUCUGGACAAAUGAGGAUCCUUUUAUUACUUCAUUGUUUGAAGGACCAGUUAGGGUAUGAAAGAUUGCUGGCCAGGUCUGUGAUUACAGCCUAUCAGACUGGUCUGUGCAAAGACUGUGAUGUGGCUCUGGAAGGUUGAAGUCUAUAUGUCAAAGAUCAAAGACAUAUUUUGAUCAGAUCUUGCGGCUGAUCUGAUACAAGCAACAAAAGUCAACAAUUUUCUGCAGAUGGUCUGGUGUAAGUUGUUCAGACAUGAUGUUCAUUGUAUCUCUUCUGUGUAACAGCAGCAUAUAUUAUAAAAAAGAAAGGGAAAGGGGAUGAGAGAGAGUGAAAGUAGGGGAUAGCAGUAAUUAUGUUGAGCUGGUUCCUGUUUUCAUUUUUUCCAGAGUUUUUGGUGGACACAGAGAAUAACUUAAAUCAUUAUAUAACUAGAGGAGUAGAAAGAAGAGAGAUAGAAGGUGUUAGGAAGCAAUCACAAGUAGGGAAAUUUGGUACAGAAGCUAGCUGGUCUUUGCUAUAAGUGGGGUUCUAAAGGGACUCAUAUUGCACGCUAGAGAAGAAGAUACAUGAACUAUAAUAUUCCUAAUUAUUCUAAGUUACGAAAUAAAAAUAAACUUAACAUGCACCUGCUAGUCCUUAUUUUCAGUCUGUUCAACUUUUAUAAAUUUUAACAGAAGAGGAUUCCAAUAAAGAUGACUUGAAGGCCCAAGCCUUUUUUAACUUGCUUUCACUGAGAAAAUAUGAGCCUGGUUUCUUGGUUGAAUUCAAUGAAUCCUAGACCAUGCUGUUUUGUGAUUGAGCUGCUUUAUGACAGUAGCAUUUGAUAGCUUUGUGCAGCUGGCCUUAUCAGCUGCUUGUUUGUCAAGUUUAAGAAGGCUCUUGAAGUUGCCUAGUGGC